GGCCUGUUGAGUAUGAUUUUAGGUYUGGCCUACCCACUGUAAAAUUAUAAAUGGUCGCGGUAUAUUAACCGUGCAAAGGUAGCAUAGUCAGUAGUUUCUUAAUUAGAAGCUUGUAUGAAGGGUUUGAUGAAAAAUAUUCUGUCUCUGUAAAAAUUUAUUAGAAUUUUAUUUUUAAGUGAGAAAGCUUAAAUUUAUUUAAAAGACGAGAAGACCCUAUAGAGUUUUAUAUAUAUUAUUUAAGUUUAUAUUUAGGUUUAUAGAUUAUUAAAUUUGAAAAUAUUUAUUUGGUUGGGGUGAUAAGAAAAUUUAUUAAACUUUUUUUUUAUUAGUAUAUUUAUUUGUAUUUAUAUGAUCCUUUUUUUAAGAUUAGAAGAUUUAAUUACCUUAGGGAUAACAGCGUAAUUUUUUUUAGAGUUCUUAUCGAAUAAAAAGAUUGCGACCUCGAUGUUGGAUUAAAAUUUAUUGCUGGUGUAAAUGCUAGUAUUUUAGGUCUGUUCGACCUUUAAAAUUUUACAUGAUCUGAGUUUAAACCGGUGUGAG
rnacentral:rRNA from 1 species